UACGUAGGGUGCGAGCGUUGUCCGGAAUUACUGGGCGUAAAGAGCUCGUAGGUGGUUUGUCGCGUUGUUCGUGAAAACCGGGGGCUUAACCCUCGGCGUGCGGGCGAUACGGGCAGACUUGAGUACUGCAGGGGAGACUGGAAUUCCUGGUGUAGCGGUGGAAUGCGCAGAUAUCAGGAGGAACACCGGUGGCGAAGGCGGGUCUCUGGGCAGUAACUGACGCUGAGGCACGAAAGCCAGGGGAGCGAACGGG
rnacentral:rRNA from 1 species